UACGAAGGGGGCUAGCGUUGCUCGGAAUCACUGGGCGUAAAGGGUGCGUAGGCGGGUCUUUAAGUCAGGGGUGAAAUCCUGGAGCUCAACUCCAGAACUGCCUUUGAUACUGAAGAUCUUGAGUCCGGGAGAGGUGAGUGGAACUGCGAGUGUAGAGGUGAAAUUCGUAGAUAUUCGCAAGAACACCAGUGGCGAAGGCGGCCAACUGGUCCGAUACUGACGCUGAGGCGCGAAAGCGUGGGGAGCAAACAG
rnacentral:rRNA from 1 species